UACGUAGGGUGCAAGCGUUAUCCGGAAUCAUUGGGCGUAAAGAGCUCGUAGGCGGUUCAGCAGGUCGGCUGUGAAAGUCCGAGGCUUAACCUCGGAAUUGCAGUCGAUACUGUUGUGACUCGAGUCCGGUAGAGGAGAAUGGAAUUCCCGGUGUAGCGGUGAAAUGCGCAGAUAUCGGGAGGAACACCAGUAGCGAAGGCGGUUCUCCGGGCCGGCACUGACGCUGAAGAGCGAAAGCGUGGGGAGCGAACGGG
rnacentral:misc_RNA from 1 species